CAGAGUUGCCUGCAGGUGCCUUGAUGGAACAUGCAAUGAGGAGCCUGCCAGACAAGGAGAGGAUGGUUUGAUUUUUCUUCUGCAGUUUGAGGAACUCUCUCCAUUUCCUGUGAAUGCCUGAGUGGAACCAGGAUUUCCACCACGCAUGUUUCAGCGCUAUGUUCUUUCAGGUACUGGACAAAUAUCUCUCACAACUACUCUUCACAUAAGCUCCACUUAUAAGGCCAGAAUUCUACGUGCAGAUUUCCUUUGAAUGUAAAACUUCUGGUGACAGUCUAAAGCCAAGCACUCUGAACAUUUAGUUCUAGUCCAUUUAUUUUUGUUUACCUCUGUGCUUCAUUAUAAUGAGAUACACAUUUUUGUUAUCAAGGACUGUAAUUACUCGUGUCCAUAGAGCAGCUCACCAGAGAGUAUAAUUAUUGCUCACAUGUCGGCUCAAGGCAAGAAUUAGACUCAAAAGUAUGAAAUGGUCAUUACUCCUACAUUUUACUUUGUUCACCUCCUGGUAGCACCUAACAGAUCACCUAUGCCUGUCCUAAUUUUACAACACAAAGAGAUUAAACUCCUGCCUCUGUAUUCUUUUUUGUGAGGGAGAGUCAUACCUGAGAAUGAAGCUGGCUAUACUCACAAAGACACAGAGAUGAUUCAGGAAGAGGGCCACAGGGCAGCACAGGGCAGCACACGGGGCAGCUGGACACAUGUGCAGCAUCACCAACAUCACAGACGUGUCUGAGGCUGCAGAGAUGCGACAGAUGGUCCUGGGUGAACAGCCAUGGAGAAUGUUCUCUUCCUUGGAAAAAGCAAGGUCUUGGGGUAAGCUGAGCAUUUGCUGGAGAGAUUUAUCCAGGAUGGAACUGACACAGCCAUUGCUCAUAUGUGUAGUAGACCAAAAAGUGGUUUGAUGUGGCUGCCAAAGACCCCAUCAAGACCAGGACUACAGCAGGGAUGACCAGAGAGCCUGCACUAUAUGCUCUCUGUAGGUGCCACUCAUGCCCAUCUGCCUCCAAGUGUAACUUGCUCCAGAGUUCAAAAGCACUUUUGGCACAGGAAGACACUGGACUGUCCCGUACUCACCUGAGGAACGGGAGCAAGUGAGGGCUGCUGCCCAGCACAGGUACCCAUCCACUGCUGUUACACUGGCCUGUGCACUGCUGACACUUCUGGUUUCUUCUGUUUUCUGUCUGAGAACUCUCACAGUUCAGUACAACAAAAAUCUUCAGGCUUUAACACAGUGUAUUGGGUUUGUGGUUUGUGCUAUUGUGUUGGGCUAAUCCAAACAAGUUAUGCCCAAUAAAGCAACAAAAAACUUCAAACAUCCCUCCUUUGCCUAUUACCAAUGAAUCCUAGGUCUCCCAAUAAUUUAAAAAUAUCUGGUGCUCAGGCUUUUUUUGGCUGCCUUUCUGUGAGUUUGUGUGAAGACUUUCCUCCACAGCAGGAAGUCCUGACCAUCUCAGUGCUAUGUUGCAGGGCAUGUAUGCAUACUUCCCAUUGUUUGGGGAGCUACAGACAGAGCUACAAUGCUACAGUUGGCCAAGAUUUCUCCAUAAGGCACUGGUAAGGUACAUGAGCCUACAUAGAGAUGACCACCCUGCUCUCCACCCUAUGACUGAGUAAAUAAUUUUCCUCUAUAUUCAUACAAAUAAUUCAAAAAAUAUAUAUAUUUUUUCAGAAAAUUGUCUCCAUUACUGCAAUGUUGGAAGUGGUAAGGAAGAGUGAGUCAGCUGUGAACAUUAAGAAUUCUGUUUUAAUAUCUUUUAGUAAUAAAUGUUCACAAACAAGCACAAAUUAAGUUUGUUCUCUAUUUUAAAUUCAUUUUUCCUCUUCAGUUUAUAAGACUCAUAUCUCACUACAGGAUUGUAAGUGGUUUCACAAAAUUGCUUCAAAAGAAAUGAUUCUGUAGAGUUUGCAUAUACUUGAUAUAUAUCUUUGAAAUUAUUUGUUCUUGUGCAUGUUUUUAGUUACAGA